rnacentral:scRNA from 1 species
GUGCUCUCGGUUCCGGUAAGACAUACUAUGCU